rnacentral:rRNA from 1 species
UAGCCGUAAACGAUACUCGCUAGGUGUCGGCCACGGUGCGACCGUUGUCGGUGCCGUAGGGAAGCCGUGAAGCGAGCCACCUGGGAAGUACGGCCGCAAGGCUGAAACUUAAAGGAUUGGCGGGGGAGCACAACAACGGGUGGAGCUUGCGGUUUAAUUGGAUUCAACGCCGGAAAUCUUACCGGGACCGACAGCAACAUGAAGGCCAAGCUGAAGACUUUGCCGGAUUAGCUGAGAGGAGGUGCAUGGCGUAGUCGUGU